UGUGAAAUGUAAAUAUAACUUUGUCCUAGAAAUUUUGUAGAUAUAAGAUAUAUGGGUCGGAGGGAUGGGUUUGAUGAGCCCAGCCCAUCUAAAGUCCAGUUUUAAUUUUGUAAGCCUGACCCAGUCCGGCCCGUUUCUAUUAGAACCCGGCCCGGACCGUAUACGGCCUACUUGUUACCAUUACUAAUUGUUGUAAAUUGGCAGUUGCCGAACCGUGCCCGUAUCUCAUUCUCGACUAAUAUGGAUUACGGCUAUACCUCCGAAAUCCAAUUGGUCGAGGUUGCACAAAAAUGGUGAAGAGGUUCUUCAAUGGCGGUAGUACUCCUUCCAAUUCUAUUGUCAAUGAUGCUCUAAUUACGCUUCUUUCUGGUCCUCCAUCUUGCGGGAAAACGUCACUGCUAUUUCAAUUCGCCUUCAAUGUCGUAGUUCAAUCAGAGUCACAGGGAUACGUAGUCUUCAUCUGCAACCGACGUCGUUUUCAAACCAAACCUCCAUUCCUUUCUCAGGGAAUUGAUGAUUCAUCUCCUAUUUUUGAACGAAUUCAAAUCAAGUACUUAGAUGAUUAUGAUGACGAAGGCCUUAAGAAAUACUUUUCUGCCUUUCAUCUUCUUAAUCCUUUUCCUCUUGCUGUUAUUAUUGAUGAUUUUGGUGACUUUUUUCUUGAUAGCAAGUGUCAACAGAGGUAUAAUAAUCCUCGUGGAAGGGACUUAGCCAUGGUUCGAGUUUUAGCCCUGUCACAUAGUGCUAUUUUUCAUGCCAAUAAAACAGCAUCUUGUCAACUUUUGCUGUCUGAUACGCACCAUGGCGAUUCUCCGAGGCUCCUUUUUCUUUACAAGAGAUGGGUUUCGUCUAUUUUUACCAUCCAAGGUGAAAGUCAGGGAUCAGGCUCGUUUUAUCUGAAGCACAGGGUGCACGCAGCAGGGAGUGAUAGCAGAAAAAUGAGUGCAAAGUACUCUAUAGCUCUUCAGUACCUGGUUUUGGAGGGAAUUGUAGAAGAUGAUGCUCAUUUGUGAUAUCUCUGAUGCUCGGUAAAUCUAACAUUUUGGGUGGCUUUCCAACUUGUAGCCCUGUAAAUGAGGCGAUGGAUGCGAAGGAGUGGACAAGGAAGCUGGAGGAACAAAUGGUGACAUAGCACCUUAUGAUGAUGAUGGAGAUCUGCGAGCUGAUGAAUGAUCGGAACCUCUUGAAGACCGGCUACUCGAACCUCCUGAAGAGUUACCUCGGUGGCUCGAACCCCUAGAAGAUGGAGUGUGGAACGUAUCAUCAUCUGCAGCGGGGCGAGGAGUCGGUAUGAGGUAAUCAUACCCCAUCUGACUCAAUACCUCAGUCAAUGAAGUGUUGAUGGAGCCUAGGGUCUGAGUACACAUCCGAUACCCCACAUCAACAGGCAAUGUAGCGGCUCCAUGCAUCGUGUCACUGCACUGUACACAGACCGAUCUAAUGCGCUCAGCCUGCAUGCAAACAAUAAAGUGUUAAAAUAAAUCACAUACGUAUUACUAUAUUUCUGACUGUUAAAAGAAGACUUACUAAAAACGUAGGUAUGGAUGGUAAUACGAUCCUGGCUGUGCAAAUGUGGGGUUCGUGAUGCGUAAUAUGGAGAUUUGUCUGUACCACGACAUGUAUGCACCUAAGCUGUGACCGGUGUAGUUCUCUCCCUGAACCAAUUGAGCUGCUCUGUCAUUCCACGCAUCUACAUGCAAUCUAUGUCGUAUCAAGUAGUUCUUGUCUGCGGUCCUCCGAUCAAUCGCAUGUAGUGCAACUUGGGUGUCACAGGCAUCAGGAAUAACCUGCUCCAAAUGGAAUUUACACAUUACACGAUCCGGUAGAUGGAACUCGACACAGUCAAAGCAAAUGAGUGGACAACGCGAUCUCUAUAUACCCUGGCCCGCUCUACAUAUCUCUGGCAAAGCCUCCAUCUUAGCCACUAUGUAAGGCUUCCAUAUGAUCUGUAAUACAAAUCAAUAAACUCAAUUAUUAAAACGAUGUAUUCAGAUCUAACAAAACUUAUUAAUCAUAAUCACCUGGUCGUCUCUCUGUCGAUCAAGAGUCUCGAUAGUGGACUAGAGUAUGUGGGGAGUGGGACCUCGAAAGAUGUACCCUAAGUCAACUGCAAAGAAAUGAAUAUUAUGUGAUAUAUCCAACUUCAUAUAAUUGUAUAAUUUGAAUUAAAUCGAGAAUUGAUGAUUAUUACCUCAUUGCUAAAUAAUCCCUCCACGCUGAUGUUGUGAAUCUAAAGACUGACUCAAAAUCCUCUGCGUCAUUAUCCUGAGCAUGUUGCCCAGGGGCUCAAACCAUUCGAAUCACGGGCCUCCCUAUAUGAAUAUGCUCCCAUGACGAAUAUCUGUAACAACAACAAGCAACCUCCUAUAUCCUUGGCACCCUUACGUGACGCCCGACAUAAAUUACGAUAUAGAUACGCAAUGGUAGCACUUCCCCAACUAUACUCGGCAACCCAGUCUAAGUCUCGUAGGAGAGGGAGAUAGAUCAACUACACCGAGUCACCACUCUUGUCUGGAAACAAGAUGCAUCCAAACAUAUACAAAAUAUACGGGCGGGCAUGCUUCUCUAAUGUCGUUUCAUCUGCAUCUGGCCCCAUCAUGCUGAAUCUAUCUCUAAGCCAAGUCAACUUCAAUGAAUAUUCAGUGAUAAUCUUCGUCUCCGUAGGGUCUUGAGGGUUUUCAGGCAAAAUCCCCAAGAGCUCAAAAACUAAGGCUUCCCAAUGUCCCUCUCCAUGACUAAUGACUGCUUGUCCAUCAACCGACAGUCCAAGUAUAAUUGUUGCAUCCUGCAAAGUAAUAGUCGUCUCGCCAACAGUAAGGUGGAAUGUAUGAUUCUCUAGUCUCCACCUCUCGGCUAACGCAGUGAUGGAGCUCGAUCAAGCUCCAAACCUCCACCUAACAACCUAUGGAUGUAACUAAAACCUGCUAACUUAACUAACUCUAAAACUAUCAUCCACCUGCCAAUCUAACGUACUCACUUGGUAGUGUUGACGAAUAACCAACUGAAAGGUGGAGCCCUUCCACCCACUUACGCUCCGAUGGGUCGCAUGGAGUGUAAGUAUUGAUCGAUCAACUAGUCCCGUAUCGUCAUUACACCUGUAACAUAUAUACAUUUCUAUCAUAUUCAACAUAAUGACAAAUUAGCAUACAAGUAAAGAAUACAUACCUAGUUGAGCUUUGACUAUCCCUACGAGGGCAUGUUUUCCUAUUAUGACCACUAAUUCCACAAAUGCCAUAUAUAUAUAUAUAUAUAAAAGAAAAGCUAGCUCUCGAAUAUUUCUUACUCUGCCAAUCAGCUUUAUGUCUUGUGGAAUGUGCGAAUGAGAGUUUUCGAGAAGCAUGCUUAUCAUUUUGGUGUUCCAGAAUCCAAAAGAUUAAAGCAACUACAAAGCUAAAAACAAUUGUGGAUGCUAUUAUGUAUUUAGUGACUGCUAUCAAAGAAAUUCCUCCGAUCUUGGACGUCUUGUGCUGCUUUACACGAACCAACAUUGAUAUAGAAGUGUCCAGGUAUGGCAAUGUAAAAUUAACCCACUGUGUUCUAUAGUAUAGUAUUGAAAUCUCCCGAACUACACCAUCAUACUCCUAGGAGGUUAUUAUGGAACACUAAAAAUUCAGAAGUUUUGGUGUUAACACAUGCCUAAAGGAGACCGUCUUGUACAGUUAUUUAACAUUUUGAGACAGUACUUAAAAAUAAUUUGUAGCUAUUUAUGAAAUAGAAACUUGCCUGAGAAGAAGCGACCUUGAGCAUGUCGUCAAAAGUGCCAUUCAUGGUGCCAUCAGGCUUAGCAAAGGGGAUCAAGUUGAAAGGUAUCGGGAAGGCUGCAAGGCCCGUAUUUGGUACAACCUUUAAUAGAAAAACCACUAAAGCUAUUCUCCCCAGUGAUGGGAUCUUGCUUAAUGGUCACAAAAUCUGUAAAACCUCGGAUAAGAAUCGUUAUUUUUAGUCUUGAAGGUGUUGCUGCUGUGAAAUAGACUACAUUUAAUAAAGCUUAAUUAUAAGUGAUUAAGCUGAUUGGGAUUAUUAAGUAUGUUAAUUCGAGUAAUAAUAUUAUUAUUUUGAUAAUCUUGACUCAAGUAUUUCAUUUGUUAACAUUUUCAAGAAAGAGGUAUAUUUUAUUAACUGAUUACUAUCUUAUCUUUAUAACAAUAAAUAAAAAAAAUAAUAAUAACAAAGCUUUUCAGAAGCUUUCACGUGAAAUCCCAACCCAACUCAUGCUCAUCCUUCUUCUACAUUCUUCCAAAUGAACGCUCAUAAACCCCCUCCCUUAUCUUCUCAGUGUUCUACCUUCAUCUCUUCCAUAGCUUUCACACUUUCACUCUUCAUGGAAUCGGACCACCGCAGACCCACCACCGAAGCCCAACCUUCUCUCUCUUUCCUGUGACGCCAACUGCCUCCCUUCCAGCAGCCGGCCUUGUGCCGCCAACAGGAGCAAGCAACGACUCUUUCUCCUCCCUCCACCAUCACCCACGUGAGUCACCACCACCACAAGGACCAUCUAUCUCUUGGUCCACUUCUUAGUCUCACUCUUUAAAUGGUGUGAUCUUUGAACAUGAAAUAAUUGGGGAUUUUGUGACUCAAAUUGAAGUUCAAGAUUGAAAGAUGAAAGGUCCUUCAAUGGUGAUUGAGGGCCUAUCUCUCACAGGAGAUAGAUCCACUUUCAGGUUGCCAUCUUUAGUGCGGAUGGAUGUGCUGCUCAUUUAUGUGUCGUGCGUUGCGAUAGCGAGGACAUCGUUUCCGGAAGGUUAACUUAUAAUAAUAUUUUGACAAAUCAUGUUUUUUUUAUAAAAAAAUAGAUAUUUUAUAAUGUAUUAACUUAGUUUAUAACUGGGUUGUAAGUAAUUGUAUUACAGUUUUGUAAAGUUUUUAAAUACUCUGAUAUUGGUUGCUGUGACUAUGGAGCCACAGGUCGGAUUCAGCCCAGACUUCUUUAAGUCUUCCGCUAUGCUUUGUAGACAAUAUUAUUAUAUUAUUUACGCCGAUUUGGGCUGUUUCA